rfam:Triticum aestivum genome assembly, contig: Triticum_aestivum_CS42_TGACv1_scaffold_289104_4AL
GAGCUACUUCCUCCGUUCCGAAUUACUUGUCUUAGAUUUGUCUAGAUACGGGGGUAUCUAGCACUAAAAUGAGUCUAGAUACAUCUAUAUCUAGACAAAUUUAAGACAAGUAAUUUGGAACAGAAGGAGUAGUAG